GACGAACGCUGGCGGCGUGCUUAACACAUGCAAGUCGAACGGAAAGGCCCUGCUUUUGUGGGGUGCUCGAGUGGCGAACGGGUGAGUAACACGUGAGUAACCUGCCCUUGACUUUGGGAUAACUUCAGGAAACUGGGGCUAAUACCGGAUAGGAGCUCCUGCUGCAUGGUGGGGGUUGGAAAGUUUCGGCGGUUGGGGAUGGACUCGCGGCUUAUCAGCUUGUUGGGGGGGUAGUGGCUUACCAAGGCUUUGACGGGUAGGCGGCCUGAGAGGGUGGCCGGCCACCUUGGGCCUGCGGUACGGCCCAGACUCGUACGGGCGGCAGCAGUGGGGAAUAUUGCACAAUGGGCGGACGCCUGAUGCAGCAACGCCGCGUGCGGGAUGCCGGCCUUCGGGUGGUAAACCGCUUUCGCCUGUGACGAAGAGUGAGUGACGGUAAUGGGUAAAGAAGCACCGGCUAACUACGUG
rnacentral:rRNA from 1 species